rnacentral:rRNA from 1 species
AGAAGAGGACAGUGGAACUCCAUGUGUAGCGGUGAAAUGCGUAGAUAUAUGGAAGAACACCAGUGGCGAAGGCGGCUGUCUGGUCUGUAACUGACGCUGAGGCUCGAAAGUAUGGGUAGCAAACAGGAUUAGAUACCCUGGUAGUCCAUACCGUAAACGAUGAAUGCUAAGUGUUGGAGGGUUUCCGCCCUUCAGUGCUGCAGCUAACGCAUUAAGCAUUCCGCCUGGGGAGUACGGCCGCAAGGCUGAAACUCAAAGGAAUUGACGGGGGCCCGCACAAGCGGUGGAGCAUGUGGUUUAAUUCGAAGCUACGCGAAGAACCUUACCAGGUCUUGACACACUAUGCAAAUCUAAGAGAUUAGACGUUCCCUUCGGGGACAUGGAUACAGGUGGUGCAUGGUUGUCGUCAGCUCGUGUCGUGAGAUGUUGGGUUAAGUCCCGCAACGAGCGCAACCCUUAUUAUCAGUUGCCAGCAUUAAGUUGGGCACUCUGGUGAGACUGCCGGUGACAAACCGGAGGAAGGUGGGGAUGACGUCAAAUCAUCAUGCCCCUUAUGACCUGGGCUACACACGUGCUACAAUGGAUGGUACAACGAGUUGCGAACUCGCGAGAGUAAGCUAAUCUCUUAAAGCCAUUCUCAGUUCGGAUUGUAGGCUGCAACUCGCCUACAUGAAGUCGGAAUCGCUAGUAAUCGCGGAUCAGCAUGCCGCGGUGAAUACGUUCCCGGGCCUUGUACACACCGCCCGUCACACCAUGAGAGUUUGUAACACCCAAAGUCGGUGGGGUAACCUUUUAGGAACCAGCCGCCUAAGGUGGGACAGAUGAUUAGGGUGAAGUCGUAACAAGGUAGCCGUA